rnacentral:misc_RNA from 1 species
GAGAAAGCAGAAACAAACCCAUGAAGGUUAUGUAAUUUGUCUAUUUAUUGCUUUCCAAAUAUAGAAUUUACUUCAAUUUCAGUUUUUGCUUUAGGGUUUUGCUUUAUGGUGAUGUUAUAGUUUCUUGGUUAAAAUAAAGAAACAGCAUAUGCUGUGUUAUUUGCUUUCAUUUUCAGCUGCUUGUGAACCUUGCCUUUUUCUUUUUGAUCUAAGCUACCUCUGCCUCUCUUGCUGUUCUCAACAAGGUUCUCUUUCUAUAUAUAUAUACUCUAUUAGUUGUAUUGCUGUUGAAUCUAUUAAGAAUUAGCAUUUAUUGCACUGUGAUCUGUUUUCUUCUGGUAAUUUUGUUGAUUUGUUUUUCCCAUUUUGAAUUUAUAUGCUGUUCUGAAUUUCUCAAUAAGAUCUUUUUCAUUUCCCCUUUCUUGCGGAUAUUUACGGUUUUAUUCAUCCUCGGGGAAACUGGGUUUCUACUUUGAAUCCUUUUCAAAGUUUAUUCCUUUAUAUGGAUUUUGUGGCUUCUGCUUAAAUAUUGAUUGUGUUGAAUCUGGGUAGUUGUGAAGAGUGUUUAAUGUAAGUAAUUUAAGUAUCUUCCUUGAAUUUGGUUCUUCAUUCGUGCUCUAAAGUUCAUGAGAUUGAAUUUCUCUUCCUUCCUUUUGCUUUGUUCUUCGCAAUGUUCGUCUUCUUUCCUGAAAUUUUUGCAUUCUUUUACUAGCGAACUAUGGGAGAGCAGUUGGGAUUGCUAAAGGUGACUGUUGUACAAGGGAAAAAAUUGGUUAUCCGGGAUUUCAAGAGCAGUGAUCCUUAUGUGGUGGUCAAGCUAGGAAGUCAGACAUCAAAGACCAAAGUUAUAAAUAGUUGCCUUAAUCCAGUCUGGAAUGAAGAGCUAAGCUUCUCCCUCACAGAAACUAUUGGAGCUCUAAGUUUGGAAGUAUUUGAUAAAGACCGUUUCAAGGCAGAUGACAAGAUGGGGCAUGCUCACCUCAGCCUUCAACCAAUUGCCUCUGCUGCUAGGUUGAAGCAGAUUCUGCAAGUUUGUUCUGGUGAGACUAUUUUAAGAAAGGUAGUUCCAGACUCAGACAACUGUCUUGCCAGGGAAAGCUCGAUUAGUUGUAUUGAUGGUGAGGUGGUGCAGAGCGUAUGGUUGAGGCUCUGUGCAGUUGAGUCUGGGGAGAUAGAACUAAAGAUUAAGUUGAUUGAUGCUCCUGUUGCCUCUUCAAGGUAGUUCAGAGCUUAGAAUUGUGCAAUGAGUAGUCUUCUGACAAUGGUAGUCGAUGGUAGAUGUAUCGGUAGGCUACCUUUACCCCUCUAAUUGUAUCAAAUAGAUUUUCAAAGUAAGGUAUCAAAAUUAGUAAAGAUUUCAGCUGGCUCAUGCAAGACCAAGCUUCUUUUGUCUGGGUGUGCUCGAGUGCAAUUGUGUCUGCUUUUGAAAUUGUUAUCAAGUUUGAUGAGAUUUUUAACUCUUAAAUGUGAAUGUGAUUCUAGUUUAAAGAUUGCAUGUGAUUUGGAAGUAAUAUGCAAAAUCAUUUUGCUUUGUAAGAAAGAAAAGAAAUUCUUUUUGGGACAUCUGAUGUCAUCAAAUGUUGUUGCAAUGUGAAUAUAUGCUUGUUUGCUUAUGCAUGCUGUUUAAUCAGAUGAUUCAGCCAUGUUCAUUUCUGAUUUGAAUUACGUUCAUUUCUGCCAUGUUAGGAGGACAGGGAAUACAGAGGCACAUAACUUAGCUAAUAAAGUAGUCCAUGACGCUUCCUUUUUGUGUAACCCUCUCUGUCAGUUGAGCUAUGUGCUGUCUAUUUUGCCUAUUAAGGCUUUCAAUGUAUUGAUAUCUUUGAGGAGAAAAAAAAAUUCAGAUGAUUCAGCAGCCACGUGUUCAAGUGUAAUCAAGUUUUCAAAGUUUGUACAAUAGUCCAAUGAGAAUAAUCUGAUGUCAUCAUUGUUGUUUGUUG